rnacentral:rRNA from 1 species
GAUGAACGCUGGCGGCGUGCCUAAUACAUGCAAGUCGAGCGAAUGGACGAACAGCAUGAUUAUCUGAUGUUAGCGGCGGACGGGUGAGUAAUACGUGGCUAACUUACAUAUAAGACUGGGAUAACUUCGGGAAACCGGAGCUAAUACCGGAUAAAAAUUAGAACAGCAUGGUUCAAAAGAGAAAGACGGCCUUGAUGUCUAUUAUAGAUGUAACCUCGAUGCAUUAGCUAGUCGGUAAGGUUACGACUUACCAAGGCAACGAUGCAUAGCCGACCUGAGAGGAUGAUCGGCCACACUGGAACUGGGACACGGUGCAGACUCCUACGGGAGACAGCAGUAGGGAAUCUUCCGCAGUGAGCGGAAGCCUGACGGAGCAACGCCGCGUGAGUGAUGAAGGUCUUCGGAUCGUAAAACUCUGUUAUUAGAGAAGAACAUAUGUGUAAAUAACUGUGCACAUCUUGACGUUACCUAAUCGGAGAGCCACGGCUAACUACGUG